rnacentral:lncRNA from 1 species
UUGCCCUUUCUAGUGUCUCUUAUGAAGAGAGGGCAAGGCAUGCUUCACAUCCCUUCUCAAGCAUUUGUUACAGUUAGAUUGCUGAGACCACUAUACUCCCGGACAUCGGCCGUAUACCUUGGAAAUCAAAGUUCCAUUUAACCGCUCAAAUCUAAUUCUUCCUCGAUGUCAUUCUAAUGUGGCCCUAAACCUUCAUAACCAGUCCAUACGGCAUACAUUACCAC